rnacentral:rRNA from 1 species
GAUGAACGCUGGCGGCGUGCCUAAUACAUGCAAGUCGAGCGAACAGACGAGGAGCUUGCUCCUCUGACGUUAGCGGCGGACGGGUGAGUAACACGUGGAUAACCUACCUAUAAGACUGGGAUAACUUCGGGAAACCGGAGCUAAUACCGGAUAAUAUAUUGAACCGCAUGGUUCAAUAGUUAAAGACGGUUUUGCUGUCACUUAUAGAUGGAUCCGCGCCGCAUUAGCUAGUUGGUAAGGUAACGGCUUACCAAGGCAACGAUGCGUAGCCGACCUGAGAGGGUAAUCGGCCACACUAGAACUGAGACACGGCCCAGACUCCUCCGGGAGGCAGCAGUAGGGAAUCUUCCGCAAUGGGCGAAAGCUUGACGGAGCAACGCCGCGUGAGUGAUGAAGGUCUUCGGAUCUUAAAACUCUGUUAUUAGGAAAGAACAAAUGUGUAAUUAACUAUGCACGUCUUGACGGUACCUAAUCAGAAAGCCACGGCUAACUACGUG